rnacentral:lncRNA from 1 species
AAGGGAAUGGGUCCCCUGGGACUAGGCUUACAGUUUUUAAUCCACCAUGUAAGUGCUGGGAACAGAAUCUGGAUCCUCUGAAUGAAAAUGUAGUGGUUUUAGUCUCUGAAUUAUCUCACCAUCCUCCGAAUUAACUUAUCUAGAGGCAACAUGUGUAACACAAUGAACACUUAUUGAUAGAUAAUAAUUAUAGACAAUUUUUACUACCCUGAUAUGAGCCUCAUUAGUGUCAACCUAUACCUGUAUAUGCCCACACAUUUACAUAUCAAUAGAUAAUGGAAUUACAUGUACACAUGUAAUGUAAUGGUAGUGUUUAGGUGCUUGCCUACAUAAACAUAAGUAUGUCUGUAGAUUUUAAUUUUUUAUAGCCAAAACUACUAAUCAAGAAAACUAUUUUGAAUAAACUCAUUUUCACUCCUACCAAAUUCCCCACCUUUUCUAAUACAACACACACACACAAACAGAGAGAGAGAGAGAGAGAGAGAGAGAGAGAGAGAGAGAGAGAGAGAGAGAAGCAUACACACAAAUAAUAUUUCAAUUUAUUGAGAAAAUGCAUUACCAUAAAAGCAUUUUGGAUAGCAGCUUUAGGAGCUGUAUGGAUGUAUUUUUCCAAAUAACUCUCCUUCAAAGAAAAUGGGUUUGAGGUUAGCAGCUUGGAGCUUUCUAUAGAAAGUGAUGUUUAAACUGUCUGCUGAAAGAGGCAGAAUGAUGAGUGAAUUUAAGCACCACCUUUCACAGAUGUUCUUUGCCUGAACUAUUUUAUUCCCAUGGUAUAUACUUAGCUCUAUUAAAAUAAUAUUACCUUCCCAGCUUUUGUGUGCUUUAUGUUCCAAUGGCUUCAUGGUUCUCAAAAGCUGAGGGUAGUCUCUUCUUCAAAGCAUGUUUCCAGAUUGGGAAGCCAGAGCGAGAAUAUUGGAAAAUCUGUAAUGUUCAUUAAAAUAUCUACAGGACCUUCCAUAAAAUUUUAGAUAUACUAAUAAUUGCUACCUUCAUUUCUAUAUCGAGGAACACCUCAAAGCCCAAAGUACAUGGAAGUUGUGAAGAAAAUGAAGGAAUUCUAUAUCCCCUAUCCUGACCUUUCUUGUAGACCACUACUUAAUCCAGAGUCAGUCUGCAGGCAAAAACUUGUUUGUUGAGGUACAGGGCGAUAUUUUGCCUGAUCUUUGGCUAAAAGCUGUUUGGCUAAUUGGGAAUAAAUUAAAACUGAUUUCUUUUUUUACUUGAAAUAGAGAAGUUAGUGUCUAUUAGUCAUUAUUCUAACAAGAAUCUGUCAUGGUUUUAAGAUGAAGGAUGUCUGCAGGAGGAAUUUUGCCAGAUUAUUGGAUCAUUAGACUGGUCCCAAUUCAUCAUCCUUCAUAGAGCUUGGCUGUAAUCUGCACAUUUAUAUGAUAAUAUUCUAGUUGUGAUAAAAUGUUCUUGUAUUAUAUUCUUUUGAGUAAAACUGUAUAGACUUAACUCUUUCUGUCUCUCCACAUAGGAAAUAUCACUGUGGAUUAUAACUUGAUUUUUUGACAGGUGUAUAAGGCAUAAAUUUGAUGAUAAGGCCAUUAAUUUAUGCAGUUUGAAAUCCCUGUAUAAAUACUUGAAUCCCCUUGAGGGAAUGAGAUAUUUCUUGAAAUGUCCUGUUGGAGAAGACUGAACUAUAGUUAGAGCCUAUGUUUGAAUCCUGAUCUUUUGUCCUCAGGAACACACUUGGACAGCUGGUGUUAAAAAUUAACCACGACAAAGAUAGUCAGAUGACAGUGAGAGAAUGAACCCUGAAUUUCAGUGCUUAGACUAACGAUGCUGUGAUAUCUGUAAGGAAAACUGAAAAGGCAGCCUCUUCUUCCCACAGAACAGUAUCUGUUCCCAAAACUAAUGACAAUGAACCAUGAAUAGGAAACAAUCCAACAAGGGCAGAGAAAGCCUGAGUUUCUUCAUAAUCCCCAGGCAGAGUUAAUUUGCAAAAGCAUGGAUUGAGACUGAAGGCAUGGCUUAUUGGUUAAGAAUGCUCACAGUUCUUGCAGAAGUCUAGAGUUUAAUUGCGAGCAUACAGAUUGAGAGGCUCACAACCACCUGCAAUCAGAUACCCUCUUCUGACCGCUGUAGGCAACCACACAGAAAUGCAUACAUGCAAAUAUAACCAUUGUUUAAAAUGAGAAUAAAGAUACUUUAAAAGAAAAAGUGCAAAUAACUACCAAGAAACCCAAAGCUUCUUAUGUGGGAAAGCCAGGGCCUAAAGAAAUAUAACAUGGCUCUCUCUGCCUGAAAUGUCUUCCACUACCACUACCAGCGCCAGAUGUAUGUAUAUUCUUUUUGGGAGACACUAAAAAGACUGACCCUUAGCCUCUAAAACACAUUCCAAAAGCUUUGAUGAACUCCUAGCAGUGGUCCCAGCAAAAGACAAGUCAGGCAACAAUCUAAUAGGGAUUGGGAAGGGGUGCAUAAGGCCCACACCUAACUGAGGAUCUGUGGACACUUUGUGCCCUCUUGGGGAAAGGGACAUGGUUUUCUUAAUGAUCUGGGUCCUAUAAAGUUAACUACAGUGCAGUGUUUGACCAAUACUAAGAAAUAUAUGGACAUCACUAAUUAGAAUUCAUGAAUUAUAAUGUUUUUUUAAUGCAUCUGAAGUUGUGGAAGUAGGGAGCUGGGUUUAUCUAGAACGAGUUAAGAGGAGAAGUUGUGGGUUAAUAUAGUCAAGAUAUAGUAUACGAAUUACUCAAAAAGUUAACAAAAGUAUUU